AAAAAAAUUCUGCUGAAAUCAGAUUGCGGUGGCGGAAAUCUGGGUUUGACGGCGAGAACUAGGGAAGUGGUGAAUAAUACUAAUAGUAGUAAUUAAUAAAAAGAGCUCGGAAAGGGGUACGUGGAGGAUUCUGAUUGGAAGGUGGGGAUUUCAUUUUAUAGAUUUGUUAUUUAUAACGUGAUUUUUGUGUUGUUUCUGUCAUAUGCUUAUUUUCGGACAUAGUCCGAACUUUUCAACACCUCUGUGGGUCUACCACCGCUUCUAAUUGUCAAUAAUGGUGCAUUACUCGCUUUGGUGAUUAAUG
rnacentral:lncRNA from 1 species